rnacentral:rRNA from 1 species
GACGAACGCUGGCGGCGUGCUUAACACAUGCAAGUCGAACGGUGAACCUUGGAGCUUGCUUCGAGGGGAUCAGUGGCGAACGGGUGAGUAACACGUGAGUAACCUGCCCCGGACUCUGGAAUAAGCGCUGGAAACGGCGUCUAAUACCGGAUACGAGACGCAACCGCAUGGUUAGUGUCUGGAAAGUUUUUCGGUCUGGGAUGGACUCGCGGCCUAUCAGCUUGUUGGUGAGGUAAUGGCUCACCAAGGCGACGACGGGUAGCCGGCCUGAGAGGGCGACCGGCCACACUGGGACUGAGACACGGCCCAGACUCCUACGGGAGGCAGCAGUGGGGAAUAUUGCACAAUGGGCGAAAGCCUGAUGCAGCGACGCCGCGUGAGGGAUGACGGCCUUCGGGUUGUAAACCUCUUUCAGCAGGGAAGAAGCGAAAGUGACGGUACCUGCAGAAGAAGCACCGGCUAACUACGUGCCAGCCGCCGCAGUAAAAC